GAAGCUUUUUAUUGUCUUUUUU
rnacentral:sRNA from 1 species